rnacentral:sRNA from 1 species
GCUGGGCACGGUGGCGCACACCUGUAAUCCCAGCAGCUUGGGUGGCUGAGACAGGAGGAUCACGAGUUCAAAUCCAGCCUCAGCAAUGGCGCAGCGCUAAGCAACUCAGUGAGACCCUGUCUCUA